GACGAACGCUGGCGGCGUGCUUAACACAUGCAAGUCGAACGGAAAGGCCUGCUUUCCCUUGUGGAUUGCGGGUACUCGAGUGGCGAACGGGUGAGUAACACGUGAGUGAUCUGCCCCCAACUUGGGUAUAAGCCUGGGAAACUGGGUCUAAUUCCCGAUAGGACUGCAGGGUGGUGCCUGUGGUGGAACACGAUUUUCUAGUGGUUGGGGAUGAGCUCGCGGCCUAUCAGCUUGUUGGUGGGGUAAUGGCCUACCAAGGCGGCGACGGGUAGCCGGCCUGAGAGGGUGGACGGCCACAUUGGGACUGAGAUACGGCCCAGACUCCUACGGGAGGCAGCAGUGGGGAAUAUUACACAAUGGGCGGAAGCCUGAUGCAGCGACGCCGCGUGGGGGAUGACGGCCUUCGGGUUGUAAACUCCUUUCGACCGCGAGGAAGCCACCUGGUUGGAAGGGUGGUGACGGUAGUGGUAGAAGAAGCACCGGCUAACUACGUG
rnacentral:rRNA from 1 species